rnacentral:sRNA from 1 species
GGUGUCCGGCCUCCCUCCCCGGGGGCCUUCACAGGCUUCUGCUGGUGCUUCUGUGCCUGUGGGUCUGGAUUCCUCCAGGGCCUGAGCCUGGGUGCAGAUGUGGCUGGAAGCCCGGAGCCUGCUGCACACACUAGUCUGGGCACGGAGUCUCUGCCGUGCCGGAGCCGUGCAGACAAAGGAGCGGCUGUCAGGCAGCGCCAGCCCUGAGCAAGUACCAGCUGGUGAGUGCUGUGCUCUGCAGGAGUAUGAGGCCGCCGUGGAGCAGCUCAAGAGCGAGCAGAUCCGGGCGCAGGCUGAAGAGAGGAGGAAGACCCUGAGCGAGGAGACCCGGCAGCACCAGGCUAGGGCCCAGUAUCAAGACAAGCUGGCCCGGCAGCGCUACGAGGACCAACUGAAGCAGCAG